rnacentral:rRNA from 1 species
GGCGGCGUGCCUAAUACAUGCAAGUCGAACGCUUUGUGGUUCAACUGAUUUGAAGAGCUUGCUCAGAUAUGACGAUGGACAUUGCAAAGAGUGGCGAACGGGUGAGUAACACGUGGGAAACCUACCUCUUAGCAGGGGAUAACAUUUGGAAACAGAUGCUAAUACCGUAUAACAAUGACAACCGCAUGGUUGUUAUUUAAAAGAUGGUUCUGCUAUCACUAAGAGAUGGUCCCGCGGUGCAUUAGCUAGUUGGUAAGGUAAUGGCUUACCAAGGCGAUGAUGCAUAGCCGAGUUGAGAGACUGAUCGGCCACAAUGGGACUGAGACACGGCCCAUACUCCUACGGGAGGCAGCAGUAGGGAAUCUUCCACAAUGGGCGAAAGCCUGAUGGAGCAACGCCGCGUGUGUGAUGAAGGGUUUCGGCUCGUAAAACACUGUUGUAAGAGAAGAAUGACAUUGAGAGUAACUGUUCAAUGUGUGACGGUAUCUUACCAGAAAGGAACGGCUAAAUACGUGCCAGCAGCCGCGGUAAUACGUAUGUUCCAAGCGUUAUCCGGAUUUAUUGGGCGUAAAGCGAGCGCAGACGGUUAUUUAAGUCUGAAGUGAAAGCCCUCAGCUCAACUGAGGAAUUGCUUUGGAAACUGGAUGAC